GACAGGGGUGGCUUGAUGCCUGGUGUCCCAGAGUCUUCCUUUGUGCUUCCAGCAGAAACAUUUGCUGUCUGCCAGGGGGUCACUGAGGGGAAACAACAAAAGAGUCCUUCCUCCACUGGGCCUUUGGAGUAACUGAGGCUGACUGUUACAGAGCCAUUGAUGUGGACCCCGGGAAAUCCAUCCUCUUCUUUCCCAAACUAACUGACAGCUAUGCCAACUGGAUGGGAGAGAUCUUUCCUAAAGAGCACUUCAAGGAGAAGUACGCUGUUGAUGA